rnacentral:rRNA from 1 species
UGCGCAAUGGAGGAAACUCUGACGCAGCGACGCCGCGUGAGCGAUGAAGGUCUUCGGAUCGUAAAGCUCUGUCCUCAGGGAAGAAGAAAGUGACGGUACCUGAGGAGGAAGCCCCGGCUAACUACGUGCCAGCAGCCGCGGUAAUACGUAGGGGGCAAGCGUUGUCCGGAUUUACUGGGCGUAAAGGGCGCGUAGGCGGUAGUUUAAGUCAGAUGUGAAAGUCCAGGGCUCAACCGUGGAAUUGCAUUUGAAACUGAAUUACUUGAGUGCAGGAGAGGAGAGCGGAAUUCCUAGUGUAGCGGUGAAAUGCGUAGAUAUUAGGAAGAACACCAGUGGCGAAGGCGGCUCUCUGGACUGUAACUGACGCUGAGGCGCGAAAGCGUGGGGAGCGAAC